CACCAACUAACUCACAUGUAAGAUUCUGGACCUUUCAGCAUAAACUUUCAGCAGAGAGAUAACACAGAAAACUUCAAGCCUUCUCCCGAAACACAAAGGGGACGGCUUCUGAUCUUGGUUUCUAACACUGUAUCACCAUGGCUUCUUCAUCAUAUUGUGAGUCAACUUAAA